rnacentral:rRNA from 1 species
GAUGAACGCUGGCGGCGUGCCUAAUACAUGCCAGUCGAGCGAACGGACGAGAAGCUUGCUUCUCUGAUGUUAGCGGCGGACGGGUGAGUAACACGUGGAUAACCUACCUAUAAGACUGGGAUAACUUCGGGAAACCGUAGCUAAUACCGGAUAAUAUUUUGAACCGCAUGGUUCAAAAGUGAAAGACGGUCUUGCUGUCACUUAUAGAUGGAUCCGCGCUGCAUUAGCUAGUUGGUAAGGUAACGGCUUACCAAGGCAACGAUGCAUAGCCGGCCUGAGAGGGUGAUCGGCCACACUGGAACUGAGACACGGUCCAGACUCCUACGGGAGGCAGCAGUAGGGAAUCUUCCGCAAUGGGCGAAAGCCUGACGGAGCAACGCCGCGUGAGUGAUGAAGGUCUUCGGAUCGUAAAACUCUGUUAUUAGGGAAGAACGUAUGUGUAAGUAACUGUGCACAUCUUGACGGUACCUAAUCAGAAAGCCACGGCUAACUACGUG